GUUGUGUUCAUGUGGCACCAUAAAAUUGAAUGAUACCGAAAAGUUUAGUGUGGCCCCUGUGCAAAGAUGACAUGUAAAUUUGUGAAGUAUUAUUUUU
rfam:Dipodomys ordii contig_26973, whole genome shotgun sequence.